GAUCUGGAGGAAUACCGGUGGCGAAGGCGGCCCCCUGGACAAAGACUGACGCUCAGGUGCGAAAGCGUGGGGAGCAAACAGGAUUAGAUACCCUGGUAGUCCACGCCGUAAACGAUGUCGAUUUGGAGGUUGUGCCCUUGAGGCGUGGCUUCCGGAGCUAACGCGUUAAAUCGACCGCCUGGGGAGUACGGCCGCAAGGUUAAAACUCAAAUGAAUUGACGGGGGCCCGCACAAGCGGUGGAGCAUGUGGUUUAAUUCGAUGCAACGCGAAGAACCUUACCUGGUCUUGACAUCCACAGAACUUUCCAGAGAUGGAUUGGUGCCUUCGGGAACUGUGAGACAGGUGCUGCAUGGCUGUCGUCAGCUCGUGUUGUGAAAUGUUGGGUUAAGUCCCGCAACGAGCGCAACCC
rnacentral:rRNA from 1 species